rnacentral:rRNA from 1 species
GGGACUGAGACACGGCCCCAGACUCCCUACGGGAGGCAGCAGUGGGGAAUAUUGGACAAUGGGGCGAAAGCCUGAUCCAGCCAUGCCGCGUGUGUGAAGAAGGCCUUUUGGUUGUAAAGCACUUUAAGCGAGGAGGAGGCUACUUAGAUUAAUACUCUAGGAUAGUGGACGUUACUCGCAGAAUAAGCACCGGCUAACUCUGUGCCAGCAGCCGCGGUAAUACAGAGGGUGCGAGCGUUAAUCGGAUUUACUGGGCGUAAAGCGUGCGUAGGCGGCUUUUUAAGUCGGAUGUGAAAUCCCUGAGCUUAACUUAGGAAUUGCAUUCGAUACUGGGAAGCUAGAGUAUGGGGAGAGGGAUGGGUAGAAUUCCAGGGGUAGCGGUGAAAUGCCGUAGAGAUCUGGGAGGAAUACCGAUGGCGAAGCAGCCAUCUGGGCCUAUACUGACGCUGAGGUACGAAGCAUGGGGAGCAAACAGGAUAGAUACCCUGGUAGUCCAUGCCGUAA